rnacentral:rRNA from 1 species
GAGGAACACCAGUGGCGAAGGCGACUCUCUGGUCUGUAACUGACGCUGAGGAGCGAAAGCGUGGGGAGCGAACAGGAUUAGAUACCCUGGUAGUCCACGCCGUAAACGAUGAGUGCUAAGUGUUAGGGGGUUUCCGCCCCUUAGUGCUGCAGCUAACGCAUUAAGCACUCCGCCUGGGGAGUACGGUCGCAAGACUGAAACUCAAAGGAAUUGACGGGGGCCCGCACAAGCGGUGGAGCAUGUGGUUUAAUUCGAAGCAACGCGAAGAACCUUACCAGGUCUUGACAUCCUCUGACAAUCCUAGAGAUAGGACGUCCCCUUCGGGGGCAGAGUGACAGGUGGUGCAUGGUUGUCGUCAGCUCGUGUCGUGAGAUGUUGGGUUAAGUCCCGCAACGAGCGCAACCCUUGAUCUUAGUUGCCAGCAUUCAGUUGGGCACUCUAAGGUGACUGCCGGUGACAAACCGGAGGAAGGUGGGGAUGACGUCAAAUCAUCAUGCCCCUUAUGACCUGGGCUACACACGUGCUACAAUGGACAGAACAAAGGGCAGCGAAACCGCGAGGUUAAGCCAAUCUCACAAAUCUGUUCUCAGUUCGGAUCGCAGUCUGCAACUCGACUGCGUGAAGCUGGAAUCGCUAGUAAUCGCGGAUCA